UUAACAUUCUCCGAGAAAAAGGCACCCUUCAAAGUUCAGAUAUGGUAAAUGCAUUAUGCAUGUACAGGAACCUGAUGUUCUAGAUUAUCAUAUAAUAUUUUCAUGCGCCGCUAGGUACCACUUCACCACUUAUUAGUCACCUGCUCAAUUCCCGUUUAGUGUUCAUUUAGUAAAUCUUUAUAUACAAGAACCCUAAGCCUAAACCUGUUCAUGUACCCGAAAACCCUUCUCAAAACACUGCAUUAUGAAAAAGGAGAGGUUAAUAACCUCUACCACUACCACUGCCACUACAACCACCCUUGAAACUAAUAGUAUGAGUACAGAAAAUAGUUGCACAGAUCCUAUUUGCUUCUUUUGUGCCAUGAAAGAGCAAGACUUAUCUCUCAGGCGAGCAGGAAUAGCCAGUUGUUUCAAAGAAAUGCCUCUAGAAGAUAGUCAAGAACACGUUCUAGUGCUUAGUGGUCUAUGGAACAUUGCUAUGACACAGCCUGAUGAUCCAGAGUUCCCAUCCCUCGGCGUCUUCAACUGCAUGGCAAGUUUGAUUCGAAAAGGUACUAAUGAUAGAAGUUGGCUUCUAACGGAUCAAAACAUAUACAUUCCUUAUUAUGCAGCGCAUGUAAUUGGCUCUUACACCAUGAACAAAGCUGAGUUUGCAGAGAAAGCUGUUGAAUCAGGUGUCAUACCUCCAUUAAUGGAGCUUUUAAGAGGAAAGAUUAGUUGGGUAGAGCAAAGAGUUGCUGUUCGAGCACUUGGUCACCUUGCUAGCUAUGAAAGAACCUUUCCAGCAGUAGCAGAGUACGAACAAGAGCUAGUUAAGUUAACUACAGAGUUAGCUUCUACUUGCCUUGCUGCGGUAUAUGCCAAUUUUGUUGGAGUAAAGGAUGUAAAGAAAAGGUUGAAGUAUCACAGUGACUUGCUUACAAGAGGAGUUGGAGGGAUAGAUACGGAGAACACAAAAGCUGAGGAAUGGGCUAGUCAACUUCAGUGCUGGUCUCUUUAUCUUUUAAACUGUUUUGCUUGCAAAGAGAGAUCCUUAGAGCUCAUUUGUAGGCAAGAUUUUUUAAAAGAUUUGUGUGGAAUGUGGGGUGGCUUGGUGAAUCACUCAUCACCUGCAGGAAUUGGACUGAUUAGAAUAUUAUGCUACAGUAUAAAUGGAAGAAAGAGAGUUUCUGAAUGUGAAGAAGUUAUAAAAAGACUUUGUAAUCUCUCGAGAUCUUCAGAUGAUUGGCAAUACAUGGGGAUCGACUGCCUUCUACUACUUCUCAAAGAUCAAGAUACAAGGCACGAAGUCAUAGAAAUUGCCACCUUGUUUCUUGUAGAUUUGGUUGAACUAAGAAACCUGGGUGAUAGAUUAAACGUUGGUGAAACAAUCACAAAAGCACUUCUUUUAGACUAUAAACAAAGCAAGUUGAAGAAAAAGAACAAAAAAGUUGGAAAAGUUUUACAAGAAAUAUGGGACUUGAAGGUAGAAAGGCAAAGAAGAGAGAAGUUAAUGUUGUCUAAAGAAAAGGUUGAAGAGAGAAGGGUUAUGGUUGGUUUGAUUAAACAACAAGCAAACCGCUUUUUUUGGCUAGGAGAUAUAGAAGAAGCAUUGGCAAAAUACAGUGAAGCAUUAGAUAUGUGCCCAUUAAGGUUAAGAAAGGAAAGAAUGGUUAUUCAUAGUAAUAAAGCACAUUGUCACUUGCUACUAGGAGAUCCUGAUGCUGCCAUAAGUGAAUCAACUAGAGCUCUUUCCCUGUCUAGUCCAGCGAAUUCUCACAGUAAAAGCCUUUGGAGAAGAUCGCAGGCUUAUGACAUGAAAGGGUUAGCUAAAGAAAGUUUGAUGGACUGUAUAAUGUUUCUGAAUAGCUGCAUCAACACUGAAACACGAAAACGGAUGAAAAUUCCACACUGUGCAGCACGUAUGAUCAGCAAACAAAUGGAUGCAACGUGGCUUUUUGCAGGUGCUAAGUCAAAGGCAGUAAGAGGUCAAGUACAAAGAUUGGAAGGUGAUUGUGAUAAGAGUGGCAAUGAUCGCAUGAAGAAAUAUGAGGAAAUGAUGAUGAGAUUUAUGAUGGAGAAAAAGGGUUUGAUCUCUGGUGAUUAAGAGUGCAUUAUGAUGAGAAAUUGAGCAUUAUGUUAAACUUUAAUCAUGAUUUUCUCUCUCGCAUAGUGUCUAUCGACUAUAAUGGAAGAACCACUGGUGGGAAAAGAAGAGAGCAAAAGAAAGCUGGGUAGGGCAACAAGGGCAAAGACUGCUUUUGUGGCUCGAUCUAUGUAAGGCCAAGUUGGGUUUAUCGUGAUAAUGUUGAAGAGCUCAGUUCAGUUUUGUGGCAUCAGAUUAGUGUUGGGUACUUUUCGGCCUCUGUUUGUUUUCUGAGUGUAGAAGUUGGGAUUUGGACAAUGAUGUCGAUGUUACAGUUUAUAUGGAAUCAAAUGCAUAUGGAUUUUUCAGUCAAAAAGAAGAAUGCACAUGGAUUUUCGAUCAACCAAAAACUGAUUUGAAUUAUGCAUAUUUUCCAAAUCUGCAUUGGAUAGGAUUGAACUAUUUGUGAUAUAUAUGGUUCAAAAGAAAAAACUAUUUGUUAUAUUUGUUCAAGUUAACGAAUGAUAGUUUUGUGCAUUA